rnacentral:rRNA from 1 species
UACGUAGGGUGCAAGCGUUGUCCGGAAUUAUUGGGCGUAAAGAGCUCGUAGGCGGCUUGUCGCGUCGGCUGUGAAAACCUGGGGCUCAACCCCGGGCCUGUAGCCGAUACGGGCAAGCUAGAAUUCGGUAGGGGAGACUGGAAUUCCUGGUGUAGCGGUGAAAUGCGCAGAUAUCAGGAGGAACACCGGUGGCGAAGGCGGGUCUCUGGGCCGGUACUGACGCUGAGGAGCGAAAGCCAGGGGAGCAAACGGG